AAGAAGUGAAAACGGGGGAAAAGGAAAAAAGGGAAGGGAAAGCGGGGGUAAGAAAGAGGAAAAGAAAAAGUGGGGGGAGCGGGCACACAGCAUCCGCUUUUGCAGCAUUCCACGAGUGACAAUCUCGCAUUUACAGAAAACCCUGUCCCUGGCAGCGUGUCGCCGCCGCGGUUAUCCGGCGGGUGUUGCAUCACUCGGCUCCCGGCGGGGAUGGAACACGAAACCGCUCCCUCAGUCUUCUGUGUGAAAUCGACUCUUGUGGCAACUCCCCAUCGACCGAAACAGCCCGGGGGUGCCUCCUCUCCUUUUUCCAGCAAAGAUUUUAUCUCCAAAAUGCUCCGUUGUCGACACAGCCUUGGGGAUUUUGCUAUUAAGUCAGUGACAAUUCUUAUACCUGAAGCCAAGCAAGCAGGACAGCUCACAACAAGCCCCAGCAGCCAGGAGCUGAUCAUAGAAAGGGUACAGUGGAGCAUGGGGGUGUCUGGCACCUGGCCAUUUCAUGAGGCUAAAUAGAAGAAAUCAGCACAAAUCAGAAGAAACCUCCCAAAAGAAGUCAACCCAGCCCUGUAAAGGAAAGGUGCUGCCAGGGCACACCAGGACUCAGAACAACAUCCUGGUACCCGAUGGCCUAAAGCUGAAAUGAGCACAGCUGGGCAGCAGCUGCCAGGAGCCUCAGCCCCUACGGGAACUGGCCUGGAAAUGAAAGGAAAUACCCGGGGACAAU